CGGGGGGGCAAGCGUUGUUCGGAAUUACUGGGCGUAAAGGGCUCGUAGGCGGCCAACUAAGUCAUACGUGAAAUCCCUCGGCUUAACCGGGGAACCGCGUCUGAUACUGGAUGGCUUGAGUUCGGGAGAGGGAUGCGGAAUUCCAGGUGUAGCGGUGAAAUGCGUAGAUAUGCGGAGGAACACCGAUGGCGAAGGCAAUCCCCUGGACCUGUACUGACGCUCAUGCACGAAAGCGUGGGGAGCAAACAGGAUUAGAUACCCUGGUAGUCCACGCCCUAAACGAUGUCAAUUGGUUGUUGGGUCUUUACUGACUCAGUAACGAAGCUAACGCGUGAAGUUGACCGCCUGGGGAAUACGGCCGCAAGGUUG
rnacentral:rRNA from 1 species